rnacentral:misc_RNA from 1 species
GAAGUCCCCCACGGAGAAGGUCUAGCCAACGCCCCGACCCCGAGUGAUGCGCGGCGUCCCGCGAGGGCCGACGUGAAGCGUUCACAGGGGAGACCACGGGCCAAGUAUUGAGCUGCGAAACGGGUCUAAUUCCGAGGUGCCGAUCUUAACCGCCUCGCACCUGUCCGACCAAGAUAUGGCUGACUAAAGUCGGAGGCGUCAGUUCGGUUUGCGACUCUCGCAUUGGAGUUUUUUGAUAA